rnacentral:lncRNA from 1 species
CCGUAGAAUGCUCAAAACCUGCUCGUUGAUUUUAGGUGUAGAAGGCUGAGAAUAGAUUCUGUUGGUGACUUUCCUUUGAUAUCAACCUUCAAAUUGAUGUUGAUAGAUUCAUAAGCAUCAAUUUGCUAACUAGGAAUGGCAUUGACGGGUCAUGAAUUCGAUGAAGAUAUCUGCAAGCUGUAGAGAAAGAUGAAAUGUGUGGAAGGGUCAUAACCUUGUUGUCAAAGGCAUCUCGGAUGAAAUGGUAGUCAACUUCUAUGUGCUUCGUGUAUUCGUAGUAGACUAGGUUUGCGGCAAUUUGGAAGGCACUAGUUUUCGCAUGUAAUGGAGUACGCUGAACUUGGGAGAAACCAAGUUUUG